rnacentral:rRNA from 1 species
UACGGAGGAUCCGAGCGUUAUCCGGAUUUAUUGGGUUUAAAGGGUACGCAGGCGGGAGAUUAAGUCGGCGGUGAAAUUUUGCAGCUCAACUGUAAAAGUGCCUUCGAAACUGGUUUCCUUGAGUGUAGAUGAAGUAGGCGGAAUUUGUGGUGUAGCGGUGAAAUGCAUAGAUAUCACGAGGAACUCCGAUUGCGCAGGCAGCUUACUAAACUACUACUGACGCUCAGGCACGAAGGCGUGGGGAUCAAACAGGAUUAGAUACCCGGGUAGUCCCUGA